GUUUCCUUUCUCUAGUCAAUUAACAUCAACAACAGCGUAAUACUGGUAGCCUUCAAAAUCCAACAACGGAGGAACCAAAGGAAUUGCUUUGAGAUGGCAUUAAAACUUAUGUUGUUGAUUUUCAAAGACUUGCAUAAAUCCCCAAUUGACAAUGUAAAAUGGAGGUUGCAGGUGAUAAAACCACAGUCAAGUAAACAUGAUUGAGCUAAUUGACAGAGAGAGCAAAGUUCACCUAUCCACUU
rnacentral:misc_RNA from 1 species